AACGAACGCUGGCGGCAUGCCUAACACAUGCAAGUCGAACGAGACCUUCGGGUCUAGUGGCGCACGGGUGCGUAACGCGUGGGAACCUGCCCUUAGGUUCGGAAUAACUCCCCGAAAGGGGUGCUAAUACCGGAUAAUGUCUUCGGACCAAAGAUUUAUCGUCUUUGGAUGGGCCCGCGUUGGAUUAGCUAGUUGGUAGGGUAAGAGCCUACCAAGGCGAGGAUCCAUAGCUGGUCUGAGAGGAUGAUCAGCCACACUGGGACUGAGACACGGCCCAGAAUCCUACGGGAGGCAGCAGUGGGGAAUAUUGGACAAUGGGCGAAAGCCUGAUCCAGCAAUGCCGCGUGAGUGAUGAAGGCCUUAGGGUUGGAAAGCUCUUUUACCCGGGAUGAUAAUGACGGUACCGGGAGAAUAAGCACCGGCUAACUCCGUG
rnacentral:rRNA from 1 species